UGGGCCUCUCUUUCCCAUGGUAGCACAGGUGAUCCACCGAUUUUCAACGAACGCUAGCUAAACCGAAUAGGUACGAGUAGCUCAAUAAUUAUUGGAAUAAAUUUAUACGCUCAUUUGUCUUAUCAAACAUCGAAAUAAGU